CGGGGGGGCGUGCUAUACAUGCAGUCGAGCGCGGGAAGCGAGUGGAUCCCUUCGGGGUGAAGCUCGUGGAACGAGCGGCGGACGGGUGAGUAACACGUGGGCAACCUGCCUGUAAGAUCGGAAUAACCCCGGGAAACCGGGGCUAAUGCCGGGUAAUACUUUCUUUCGCAUGAAGGAAAGUUGAAAGAUGGCUUCUCGCUAUCACUUACAGAUGGGCCCGCGGCGCAUUAGCUAGUUGGUGAGGUAACGGCUCACCAAGGCGACGAUGCGUAGCCGACCUGAGAGGGUGAUCGGCCACACUGGGACUGAGACACGGCCCAGACUCCUACGGGAGGCAGCAGUAGGGAAUCUUCCGCAAUGGACGAAAGUCUGACGGAGCAACGCCGCGUGAACGAUGAAGGUCUUCGGAUCGUAAAGUUCUGUUGUUAGGGAAGAACAAGUACCGUGCGAAUAGAGCGGUACCUUGACGGUACCUAACGAGGAAGCCCCGGCUAACUACGUGCCAGCAGCCGCGGUAAUACGUAGGGGGCAAGCGUUGUCCGGAAUUAUUGGGCGUAAAGCGCGCGCAGGCGGUUCCUUAAGUCUGAUGUGAAAGCCCACGGCUCAACCGUGGAGGGUCAUUGGAAACUGGGGAACUUGAGGACAGAAGAGGAGAGUGGAAUUCCACGUGUAGCGGUGAAAUGCGUAGAUAUGUGGAGGAACACCAGUGGCGAAGGCGACUCUCUGGUCUGUUUCUGACGCUGAGGUGCGAAAGCGUGGGUAGCAAACAGGAUUAGAUACCCUGGUAGUCCACGCCGUAA
rnacentral:rRNA from 1 species